AAUAUUUUGUUUCUAAGACGCCGAUAAUGCCGCUCGGACAGCUCUUGACGACACACAGGAGGAGGCCAUACCACUUUCACGGCCCGACGCAGCCAGCAGACUUCGAGUGCUUGCACAGGAGAUCACGCUCUCUCUAUGGUGCACACCAAGCAGCCAGACCAA
rnacentral:lncRNA from 1 species